rnacentral:rRNA from 3 species
GGCCCUAAAUCUUGAUGCUUCCCAGACACAAACAUCCGCCCGAGAACUACGAGCACAAACGCUUAAAACUCUAAGGACUUGGCGGUGCCCUAAACCCACCUAGAGGAGCCUGUUCUAUAAUCGAUAACCCACGAUCCACCCGACCACUUCUUGCCAAAACAGCCUACAUACCGCCGUCCCCAGCCCACCUCUGUGAGAGCACAACAGUGAGCCCAACAGCCCCCACUCCGCUAAUAAGACAGGUCAAGGUAUAGCCCACGAAGUGGAAGAAAUGGGCUACAUUUUCUAAAAUAGAACACCCAACGAAAAGGGGCCUGAAACCUGCCCCAAGAAGGCGGAUUUAGCAGUAAAGCGGGACAAUCAAGCCCCCUUUAAGCCGGUCCUAGGGCA